rnacentral:lncRNA from 1 species
GUCUGAACUGGCAUUAACUUGCUGAUUCUGUUUCAGAUCUCUAUUCCAGCUUUCUCGGUAACCCUAAUAAAGAAAACCAAAACUGCUCUUCUAGUGCCAAACGCCCUGAUCAUAGCAACAGUCACAGACAGGUACAUAUUUGUCUCCUUACUCUCCAGAGAUUCAACUUACAAACUACUAAAAUCUGUGUGUGGACACUUAGAAGUGAAAUACAAGUGUUGGUAACAGUCCCAAUCCAUCUUCUGCUGAAAACAGUUUCCGAGCAGACCGCCCUUCAUCUCUGCCUCUGGUAAGUUGCCCACAUAACUAUCUAAAUGCAAAAGAAAGGGAAUAUGUCCCACAAUUACACUUGUGCUUACACCAUGACCAGGGUGUGGGAAGAGCUUAGGACCAAAAUAUUUGAGGUACAGUUGAAGAAACAGGGCAUAUCUUCCUUGAAGAAGAGGAAACCAUAGUAGCCAUAAACUUUUUCCAAGUAAUUGAAGAGUUGUCCUGCAAAAAGAAAGAAACACCUAGUAGACUAUCUUGGUGAGUUACUGGUCAGUGAAUGCAUUCAUAAAAUCUUGCUCUGUUUGCUUGUCAAUAUUGGCUUAGAGGGAUUCACAAAUCUAUUUGAGGUAGGACUGAAUCAUCCCACAAAUCCUUAAAUGUCUUCUGUGUUCAAGGCACCAUGCUAGUGCACACUGUAGGAUACCAGGAAAAAUUAAAACUAAUUUAUGCCUUCAGAGACUUCACAACUUAGAAGAGAAAUGAAUAUGCUCAGAAUUAACUG